ensembl:misc_RNA
UUGACAGCCCUGAAGACCAAAGACCUUUAUUUAUGCAUGAGCAGCAGCAGUUCUGGCUUUCCCACACUGCCCUUCUGGUAGGCUUCACCCAUGACCUGAAGGAUCCUCCUUUGGGUGACAGUCUUGGGCCCAAUCACUGUGCCAGUCCU